rnacentral:rRNA from 1 species
UACGGAGGGUGCGAGCGUUGUCCGGAAUCACUGGGCGUAAAGGGCGCGUAGGCGGCCUGAUAAGUAGGGGGUGAAAUCCUGCGGCUUAACCGCAGGGCUGCCUUCUAAACUGUCAGGCUGGAGCACAGUAGAGGCAGGUGGAAUUCCCGGUGUAGCGGUGGAAUGCGUAGAGAUCGGGAAGAACAUCAAUGGCGAAGGCGGCCUGCUGGGCUGUUGCUGACGCUGAGGCGCGACAGCGUGGGGAGCAAACAGG